UUUUAAACUGAAGUUAUUAACAAUGGAACAUUUCUCUUGGUGACAAGGAGAGCAAGGCAAAGAAAUAUUCAGUAUUUUCUUGGAGACCAACCAUCCAGCCUUACCAUCUCUUUUCCCCCAUAUCAACUCCCCUUCUUUCUCCCUUAAGAAAAGAACAAGUCUCCAAGAGACAAGUACUCAAUACAACAACACAAAUUACAAGAAGACAAGGUUCUCAAAGAAGCCACUAGAAGACAACAGAAACCUUGGAACUGGAGUCUCAAGCAGAUCAAUUCCAUAAUUCUUCAAUGAAAGCCAGCUGUUAACAAUUUGCAUGGUGUAUAAAAGAAGUCUUAGAAAAAUGGAAGAAUCUGUUUGACUGAAAAUGAUGGGACUCGCGGGUCCUGGCAGCAAAAGGAGGCAAAAUGUAUGCAAAGUUCACUCUGGAUAAACAUUGUGUUUCCUGGGCUUCCUUAUAGAACACAGACAGGUAUGAGGACCCAUGCCUGCAGUUCCUACACUAGUGAGAUUUUGGUGGAAGAGAUGAUUGCAAAGCGGAAGCUUCUUGGAAAUGGAUGAGCUAAGUCGUUUCUUCAGCUAAAACUCUGAAUGGCAUCAAGACAUCCGGGGACGUUGUACGUUUUGUGAAGACUAACAGUUUCAGCUAACAGGAACCUCAGGGAGCUCCGAGGGUCUGUGUCCCUCUGCAUUUACCUGUGCAUCUACCUCGUUCCAACAGUUGACAGUUCUUCAUCUCAUUCCUCCUCCUCCUCCAUCUCCAAGAGGAUGAUGUCCCGAUCCUCAACCUUCCCUCCCGCUCCCAAGCCUCCUCCCUAUUCCCUGGGGUCUCAAGUCUCUCCAGGGUUAGGUACAUCUU